CCAAAAUAAAAACAGAUUUUAUGAAUAGAAUCAUGGUAAAUACAUAUUGGUGGCGUUUCUUACAACUAAACAAGUCGUAAGGGAACCAGACCAUGUAUAUAUACCUGACAUUCUAAAAGGAUAUUCAAACUGAAGGCCUGUC
rfam:Bacteroides vulgatus ATCC 8482, complete genome.